rnacentral:lncRNA from 1 species
GCGGGCUGGCAAAGGUGCUCUAGGACUUGGGAGCAUUCACGGGAGAUCCCGGGAAGGAAAGAGAGUCGAGACGCGGGAGCUGGGAGAUGGGCGGCCGGAACCGGAUUGGGCAGGGCACUGGGGGCGGGAACAGAACUGCGGAAGCAGGAGUGGGACCGAAGACCUUCCACCCUGACACCCUAGCCAGCCCCGCGUCCCCACCCGACAGGUGCGGCUCCCAGACCACGGAAGACCCCAGAGGCAAAUUCCCAACGAGGCACACGGCGAGGGCAGGGUUGGGAUGGCUGGAAUGCUGAGGGUGGGAGGUCUUCGGUCCCACAGCAGAAGCUCGCCUAGUCAUGGCUCUCAGCCUGGAAGUGACCGCCAAGAAAUCGCUCGACAUCCAGGCCCAGCGCCCAACCUGGAUGAUCACCAGCACCAACGUGGCUUUGGCCCGAGGGUCCAAGAGAAAGGCCAAGCUGGGGGUAACGCCACCUGUGACCAGCUGAAUGCCCGGUAGAAGUGUACCAGGGGAGCCCACCAGUAUCUCCACACAAUCAUGGGACGAAAAUCGUGGUUUUACUUCGCGACUUCAGGAUGAGCCCUAUGGGAACCAGCAGCCCCCCACCCACAAACCAGAUAGCCGCUCCGGAGCCCGCAGCUCAGCCCCACUGGGAGGGCCUGCGGCUAAUGCAAGGAUUCUGACCAAUGCGGUCUAAAGAGAAUGAGAGAGGGGGCUGCGGCCCGAGAAACUGAGGCAAAG